AGUGAACGCUGGCGGUAGGCCUAACACAUGCAAGUCGAACGGCAGCACAGUAAGAGCUUGCUCUUACGGGUGGCGAGUGGCGGACGGGUGAGGAAUACAUCGGAAUCUACUUUUUCGCGGGGGAUAACGUAGGGAAACUUACGCUAAUACCGCAUACGACCUACGGGUGAAAGCAGGGGAUCUUCGGACCUUGCGCGAUUGAAUGAGCCGAUGUCGGAUUAGCUAGUUGGCGGGGUAAAGGCCCACCAAGGCGACGAUCCGUAGCUGGUCUGAGAGGAUGAUCAGCCACACUGGAACUGAGACACGGUCCAGACUCCUACGGGAGGCAGCAGGGGGGAAUAUUGGACAAUGGGCGCAAGCCUGAGCCAGCCAUACCGCGUGGGUGAAGAAGGCCUUCGGGUUGUAAAGCCCUUUUGUUGGGAAAGAAAAGCAGCAGGUUAAUACCCCGCUGUUCUGACGGUACCCAAAGAAUAAGCACCGGCUAACUUCGU
rnacentral:rRNA from 1 species